UACGUAGGGUGCAAGCGUUGUCCGGAAUUAUUGGGCGUAAAGAGCUCGUAGGCGGUCUGUCGCGUCGGCUGUGAAAACUCGGGGCUCAACUCCGAGCUUGCAGUCGAUACGGGCAGGCUAGAGUUCGGCAGGGGGAGACUGGAAUUCCUGGUGUAGCGGUGAAAUGCGCAGAUAUCAGGAGGAACACCGGUGGCGAAGGCGGGUCUCUGGGCAUCUCCUGACGCUGAGGCGCGAAAGCGUGGGGAGCAAACGGG
rnacentral:rRNA from 1 species